AGUAACACGUGAGCAACCUGCCUUUCAGUGGGGGACAACAUUUGGAAACGAAUGCUAAUACCGCAUAAGACCACGGCUCGGCAUCGAGCAGAGGGAAAAGGAGUGAUCCGCUUUGAGAUGGCCUCGCGUCCGAUUAGCUAGUUGGUGAGGUAACGGCCCACCAAGGCAACGAUCGGUAGCCGGACUGAGAGGUUGAACGGCCACAUUGGGACUGAGACACGGCCCAG
rnacentral:rRNA from 1 species